UGGGUUCAACGAUGGAUUGACUGUUUAGGGAUGGGGGCUCACCCGGGAUGCAAGCUUGUGAACUGAUUGAGGAACUGAGACUGAAAUCCAAAACGAGGUGUCUCCACAGGUGAACAAGAGGAAGUGGAAGAGGAAGGACUAAAGGGUGACCAGGGCAACCAGAGUGACCAUGGGGAGGCUCCUGCUGUGGCUCCUGCUGUCCCUGUGGUGCAUGAGGAAGGACGCAAAUAGUGUGCCAUGUGGAAAGGAGGACUGGGAGUGGGUGACUAGCCCCAGUCCUCCGAGUUUGCUUCGCUUCAACUGCCACACUAAGGAAACACUUAGCUUUUGCAAAACACGUGCAGUGGUCAAUAAACAGCUCUGGCCAAAGGUAAAGGUGGCACUAUGGUUAGGACAUGAGCACACAGUGGAACGUAAAAAGGUCCAAAUAAAAUCAUACACUGAUGCUCAUAACAAUAGGAAGACUAGUAACAUCACAAUUUUAAUAACAGCUGACUGCCCAGUUAUUCGCUGGUGUCAGGUGCCAGAGAUUAUGGAGUUUUAUGGAGGCAUUUGGAAGGAAUCAUGGAAGUGCAUGAGCUACCCCUUUGAGCAGGGUGACAGCCUUAGAUGAUGCUGUGGCCCUCUUAGAGGGACAGUGUCUAUACUUAAUGCAACCAGUGUCCGGAUUACCUUUAAAGGGGGACAGCUGCAUACUACUAGUGAAGGGGACUACAAAGUCCUGGGCUACCCCUCAUUUGAACACAAUUACAUGGCUUGGGAGGAAACACAUAGACCUCGGUACUGGAAUUUGUGUGGGAUUUUGUGCGAAAGAAACCAAACACUCAUGAAAGAUCAUGUGCCAAUUAUACUGACAUGGUACCUGUGGAGGUUGGGCCUGCUGAUUCAGGAUAGGGCUUACCACUUAAAGCAUGGACCGAGGUAACCCCAAAGGCAUGGCGAACGUCGUUAAAUGAUGGCCCAAAUUAGAAUGUCCACGACUGGUAACAACCAAGUUAUCAGAGACAGAGUGGAACCACCUGACUGUGUGUCAUGCCCUGAACAAAUCCCUGUUCCAGAACCAGGAUUGGUAAUGAUAGGACCAGCACUACUGGUCCUCACCUCGGUAGUAUUCCACACCUACAGAGUCGAGGGGCAUAUUCCAUUAGAGGAAGCGAACAGACAGUGUGCAAAGGUCAGGCCUCGAAUGAGUAGAAAUAUUACUAGCCUAACAAAUCAAAUUGGUGAGCGCUUAACUAGACAGAAAAGGGGUUACUAGAUACCAUUGCAGGAUGCAUUGGUGCAGGUAAUUCUGUUGGCAACACCUAUAACAUAGCACGCCAAGCUGAGAAGAGGGAUCAACUUGAGUCAAGGCUGGCAGACGCUGUAAUCUCUAAUGCCUGGGGAGGACUGGAUACUAAUAAGGCCAGUCGAUUGAUCCUAGACAGUUUAAAGGAUCUGUCAACCUCUGUAUCCACCUUAUUAGAUAUAACAAAAUACCUGGGUAAAGAAGUCACCACCCUGCUGAUAAAUGAUACCAAAAUAAAGGCAUUGGAAGAGAGUUGUUGGAGAGCAGGACAAACUUUGGCCAUCACCACAUGAUCUCCUUGAUGGCUGGAUCCACCCAGCCCUUAUGGAAGUGGUGGGACCCUAUCUCCCCAGUACCCCUCCGUGGGCAUGGGGAAACAGAGAAUCAAUGAGAGUCCAAAGACCAGUUUGGACAGGUCACAGUAUACUCUUUAACCUUCUGGUACCUCUGGGCAUCCCUCAUUUACAGCGAGCCAGGAUGGUGACCUCCUUGCCAGUAUGAAGGAGGGGUCAUGUUAUUAAGAUAGAAGGCGUUGCAUACUCUGAGGUCGCUGGGAGAGCACUGUAUCCUAGUGAAUGUUGCACCCACUCUGAUAAGGAAAUUCUGUGUACAAGCCCAUAUAAUAUUCUAACGAAUUUGUCUAGGUUCGAAGUGGCCAUCAUUGAGAAACUGGCACACACGGAGCUGGUCCAAAUGAACAGUACCUAUUGGUGUGUGACUGCCCAGAACCACUCCAUCGAGCUAAAUGGAAAGCCCUGCCCCUCGAGACAUCCAUCCGUGUGCAUGACAGUACCCCGAAGGGCGACCCUGACCGUUGAUGGGAUGCAGCUCCACAGAUUAUGGUCAGUGCCAUCUCAGGUGAUGGCCCAUACAGGCCCAAAAUCCAGAGUUUGCUCAAGAAGACAGAGGUCUAGCAAAUAGUGAACAAUAUUAGCUAAGAAGCAGAACAAACAAAGGACAACCUUGCUUUUUGCUAAGAUAAGCUUGGUCAGCAAGAAGCCAGGUGGAAAUUAUAAUU